AGAUUUCUGUCCAUUCACCCCACUUGCCUCUUCAUCUCAUGCUGAGCUGGAUAUUUUAAUCAGCUGUGACAGCUUCACAGUUAUGGAGAUUUCAGUCUCUGUUAGGUGAAGAUCCCAGCUGCCCUUGACAACAGCCACCUCUCCAGUACACAGUGGAAAAACAUGGCAUAGUUCAAGGACAAUUCAGGAGGUUGCUGCCUGCAGCAGCAGAAGGCUGCUGAAACCUGUGAUGAGAGUGGAAGAAAGGAAUCCUCAGGCAGGCUCACAGACAAAACCUGGGCUGUCAUUGAUUCAUUGACAAAGCAGACUUGCUGCCCCUGAGGAGUCAUACCACCAGCUACCACAGGCUUUGAAGAAAGGUGAGAAUAGACAAUAGAAGAAACUUCAAGUAUGAGAUGAUACAGUUGACGGCCUUCAGGAAGAGGGAGAUAUUUCUUGUACUAAUUGAGAUCUUCAGGGAUGUGGAAGAAAUAAAUACUUUUGAAUUCAGAUUUUAGCAGUUUAUCAGCAGUGGAGAACAAAACAAUGUUUGCUAUAGGAAGACAGACAGAUGUUCUUCUAUAAGGCCUAUUCUGAUUUAAACUUCACGAGACCUCUGAAGAUAGUCUUGCAGAGCAGUCCAGAAUUUGAAAAUACUUGAGGAAGACCUGAAUUUUCUCUCCAUCUUCCUGCCUCUACACUUUCAUUAAUGAAAGAUACACCUUAACUCCUAAACAGAACAUGGUGAUAAGUAUAGCUGAUUAUACUGUUCGCUGAGGCAAAACUUCUGCAAGUGCUCCCAGGAGGUGCUCCCUAGCCCCAGCUUUGUCCUGAAGUGGUGCUGCUCUCCAGAUGUGCCCCUCUUACAGGUACGAGGCUUGCUGACUGGGGUAAGAGUGUGUCUUGUGAUCUUCUGAACUCUGUUUUGUUAGCCAUCUGAUACAUCACUUAUCUGAAAAAAUCCUCCCUCCUGCUUCUGGGAGAGUAUCUUGAGUUCUAGAGAUCAAUACAGAACAGGCCACAAACUGAGAUAGUUACAUAUACAAAUGAUACAACUUUUUGAACAUGUAUUUCUAACGAUUUAAGCUUUUGUCAUUUUUUUGAUAAAUACUUCUGUAACUCUCUGAAGAAAAACUUCAUUAUUAUAGAGGGUUUCACAGGAAACAAGGAAACUCUCUUUCAGCCAUUAAAAGAAGUGAUACAUCAGACGUAAGCAGAAUUAAAAUUACCCCAAUGUUGUUCAUUGGAGUCUAGUUUCUUAUUUAUAUCCAGUCACUAAAGGAAAACAAAUUAUUUGCAAGCAUUUCACUUCAGUGUAGCAC